CUGCAUUCCUACCGUCCAGAAAACAAGUUGCAGGGAUGUUUGCCGAGGAAAAGGAACCAGUUGCGGAAGUAGAGGAGGAGGAGGAGGAAGAGGAAGAUGAUGUAGAUGAAGUGGAAGAUGAGGAAGAGGAUGGAGAGGAUGAGGAUAUGGAAGAAGAGGAUGAAGAUGAGGAAGAAGAUGAUGAGGAUGAGGAAGAGGAGGAAGAAGAUGAAGAAGAGGAGGAAGAGGAUGAGGAAGCAGCAGCUGAGGCCGAGGUAGAUGAGGAUGAUGAUGAUGAUGAUGGUGAAGCAGAUGAAGAGGACUCUGCUGCAGCGACUGAAGAAGAUGAUGAUGAGGACGAAGAGGUGGCUUCGGAGGCUGAUGAUGAGGAGGGUGAUGAUGAGGAGGAAGAAGUUCCUACAGAGGCUGAUAAAGAGGAGGAGGAUGAUGAGGAGGAGGAAGAGGCUGCUCCACAUGCUGAUUAUGAGGAUGAUGAGGAGGAGGAAGAGGCUACUCCACAGGCUGAUGAUGAGGAGGAGGAAGAGGCUGCUCCAGAGGUGGCUGCUGCCGAGGCUGAUGAUGAGGAAGAGGAGGAGGAAGAAGCAGCUGCAGCUGAUGAGGUGGCAGAGGAAAAUGAAGGUGAAGAUGAAGCUGCUGCAGAGGUCAUUGCUGAGAUUGAUGAGGAUGAGGGCCCCAUUCUGAUUGAUGUUGAUGACACAGAGACAGACACUUCUGUUGGAGAUAUUGGAGAGGAGGAUGACACCAUAGCUGAAGCUGAAACUGAAGCAAUUACAGAUGAGGAUGCCAGUGAUGCUGCUGCUGCUUCCACUGAUGAUGAUGGUGAUAAUGAAGAGGAUGAAAAUGCUGUAGCUGGUCCUGCUGCUGCCAGUGAUGAAGCCACAGAUGAUGCUCCUGUUUCGACUGCAGAUGAUGAUGAUGAUGAUGAUGAUGUUGAUGAGGAAGAUCAUAGCAUAGAUGUUGACCAAACAGAUGAUGAUACUAAACCCAUUGACCUAGAAGAUGACGAUGAUAAUCUUGCUGAUAGUGAGGAUAUGGAUAUCUCAGACACAUUAGCUGAGGAUACAACUGAUGACUCUACAGAUUUAGAGGACACUGAUGAUGACGAUGAUGGCAAAGUCAGUGAGGACAGUGGUGCCGUCGUUGAUGACGAUGACAAUGACAAAACAGUCGAGGAUUCAGGAGAGACUGUUAGAGAAGCCGCAGACAUUUCUGAUGACACAGAAGACGAUGAUGAUGAUGAUGUUGAUGAUGAUGAGGUGAAGGAUUCAGCUGAAGAGAUCGGCAAAGAAGAUGACGAUGAGAAUAAUGAGAUCAUAACCGAAGCCUUUGAUAGCUCAGCACCUGAAGAAGAUGAUCUAUCCAAGGAUGAUGACGAUGACGAUGAUGACAUUGAUGACCUUCUUUUGACAGAACUAAAGGUCAAGCAAGCUACUCCUCCUCCAGAACAAGUAGUGUGCCCUUGUAUGCAUUCGUCCAAGCCCAAAGAGGCCACAAGUGAGCCAACGGAGGGGAAAGAGGCAGAGCCCCCUAAAAAGGAACCAGUAGUGAGAGCUAAGAGAGAGCGUGACAUGUGCAGGCCAGUUGACAAGCCAAAAAGGAGAGAGGCUGCAAGGAAAUUGGAAUUAGAAGCGGCGAUCAGGAAGAGAGAACUAAGACUUAAAAAGGAAGCGAAGGCCACAAAGGAAGAGUCUCAACAUGUAGAUGCUGGGGUGCCUGCACCUGCACCUGCACCUGCGCCAGUUCCCGCCUGUCAACCCACACCAGUCUACUGGCCAUCAUCAUCUCCUGGCUGGUAUUUGCAUCAUAUAUUCACAGACAAUCCAUUUCCACCUACAACUAUGACAGCUCAUCCAGCUCAGCCAUUUUACCAAGCUCCUCCAGCUUAUCAAGCUCCUCCAGGUUAUCAAGUUUAUCAAGCUCCUCCAGCUUAUCAAGCUCCUCCAGCUCAACCAGCACCAGCUCAACCAGCACCAGCUCAACCAGCUCAACCAACAACUCCAGUUCUACCGGCUGAACCAGCACCUGCACCAGCACCUGGACCUGCACCAGCUCCUGCACCAGCUCCAUUGACUCAAGAACCACAGGCUCCCAAAGAAAAGGCUGCCUCCACAAAGAAGGUUCCAAAGGAAAAGACCAAGGCAGCUGCCUCAAAGACGGAGUCUCCUAAAGGAAAAGUUAAGACGCAAGAACUUGCGGUGUCCAAAGGGAAGUUCAAACCAGCUGUUGUGAAGAAAGGAGCUGUUGUCGCUGAAGAAAAGACAAAACCUUCCACGACAAAGAAAGAGGUUGUUGUUUCCAAAGAUAAAGCUAAAACAACAACUGCCAAGAAAGAUCCUGUGGAAAAGGACAAGGACAAAAUAACUCCUACAAAGAAAGAGCCUGCAAUCUCCAAAGAAAAAGUCAAGGCAACCACUAGCCAGACAACCACACCCUCUACCAAGAAAGUUGUUUUCGAACCCGAGGCCCCUAAAGAGAAAGCCACUCCAAGAGUCCCCACUAUGAGAAAAGGUAACCACACAAAUGUAGUGGUGCCAAUGGCAAAAGCCACCGGAAGAGUUGUCGCUAUAAGACCCACGUCUACGAGAAAAGCCAAAGCUAAAGCCACACACUCUGUGAAGACGGCCCAGCCCACUAAACCACGUAAGUAA
rnacentral:lncRNA from 13 species